CCAACAAGAAGGUUACGUGUGUCAUUGUCAACUCACUUCUACUAUCUCUUCUAUAUAAAAGGAGCGAAUAGCUCUAUUAUAGUGUGUUGGUUUAGUCAAGUUCUGUUAGGCCAAAACGCACCGUUCCAUUGCUCACUCCAGUUCUAUUUUGGUGAAGCAAAACUCUUCGUUUUGUUCUGUGUUUUUUGCGCGUGGAAGGGGUGGGAGAAAGUAGAAACAGAGAUGGGAGUGUGGAAGGGGUGGGAGAACGUAGAAAUAAAGAUGGGAAGUGGGUGAGGGUGAGAGUGAGAGACAGGGAUUAGUGAUAGCAGAGAACUCUAAUAAGUUUCUCUCACCGUUCCGCACUCUAUUUGCUGAAAGAGUACUUGGAUGAAAGGAUGGAGGAUUAGCUUUGGCUAUAAAUUUAGGAAUUUCUCUUCCGAUUCUUUCUUCACGGAGUAAGAACACCAAAACUAACACCACCGAUGGGUUCCAAAGUUUGAAAUCAACAUCUUCAAUCAUCAUUGUUCUUCACUUUAGUAGCAUUUUGGUGAAGCAAAAGAAACAGAGAUGGGGAGUGGGUGAGAGCGAGAGACAGGGAGGGGUGAAAGACAAGAGACCCAUUAGUGAGCAAAGCUGAAACAACUUUGAGCUUCCCUCGCCGAUUCGUACUCUCUUUGCUGAAAGAGCAAAAAAGGCUUUACCUACUUGGAGGAUGGAGGAUCAGCUUUUACUUUACCAUACCACCGAUGAGUUCCAGAGUUCGAAAAUCAAAACCUUCGAUCGCCACUUCAAAUGCAGGCAGGUAAUAUCUAUAAAUCUCUAAAGGCUAAACCUACUAUUUCGUUUACCUAUUUCAUUAAUCAAUUUUUUUUAAUCGAAUUAAUUCAAAAGGCACGCACUUUUCUUGCCUUUUCUCAUUGAAUAGGAAAAAUAAAAUAAAAUCAGACCUUUUUACUAGAUUUAUGUGUUUUUCUUCUUUGUUUGAAUCAUAACUUUCAUUUUGAUUAAUCCCAUACAAAAUUUCAGUUCUGAUUCGAUCCAUCACAUCUAUUCAUGGAGCAUUGGGAUCGUAUUCAAGACUCCCUGAUACUCAAUUGAAGGUGUGACUCAAAGACAUGAAAAAGUGACUUCUUCACUUUUUCUUCUCCUUAUUUCUUUUGCUUCCACAAAGUUGCAUAAUAUAUUCAUUUUCUUUGCAUUCUAAAGCAUGUUAGCUGUCAAGUUGGGGUCUCUGCCACUAGCAAUGGGCCUGACCCAGACAAAGAAAUGUAGAAGUUUCAGGGUUUUGACUGGUACAGUAAAACUGGUGCCGGGGUUGGUGGUGGGUUUUUACCCUUUCUUCACAAGGAGGUUGAGAAAAAUCAAAUAUCCAUUUGCUCGUACUUUGGCUUGGCGAAUGGAGAGGCUCCCUGUACAAGUAUGUAUUCUUUUUCCAUACUACAAUAAAGUUUUCUAAGUGAAGAAGCUAAGGUACCAAAAUAUUUUUCAGUAAUUAGAAUUGAGUUUUUAUUUUGUUAGUGGGUUUCUCUUGGGUGGAUUAUGGAUAUUUGUCCUGAUGGGUUUUGUCAUAUUAAUUAAAUGCGUGUUAAAUCAAAUAUAAGUAAUAUAAUAAGAGAAUCCAUAGUAAAAAUUAUUUUACUAAAAUGAGCAGUUCAAUGCCAUAACAAUCAGAAUAAUUGUAUUUUUACAUUCUCUGUAGACUGUAGUUGUUGAUCUUCAAGAUAAAGUCCAAAAAGAUUGUACCUUUGGCAUGAAACACAACUUUUUUUCACCAUAUGAAGAUUUUCCAAUACCAAAAUUGGAUUGUCUUUUGACAUUACUCGAGGAUGAGUCUGGCUAAUUGGAUUUGAGCCCAAUUUGACCGACCUCAAUUGAUAAUUCCCAAGUGAGUAGGUGAACAUGUUUCAAAAAAAAAAAAGUGAGUAGGUGAACAAAAAGUGUAAUAUCAUUUUGGGUGUGUAUUCACCUCAAAUGAGCUAAAAGCAAGGUGAUGUGACCAAAAAACAAUCUGACUGGGUCCUCAUCAGCUUGAAUGGUUAAUUAUAGGCACUUCCUCGAAACCUGGUUCACCCGAAUCUAAAUGCAAUGCUUAGCCACAUUCAGGUUGGAUGACGUUAGAAACAUUUUCAUCAUCUAUUCAUUCAAGCAUGGAUAUUAAUUGACCAAGUAUGCUACCAUUUCUACAUCUUCAAUCAGUGAUUUAAUUGCCACUUGAAUGCUUAGGAGAACUCUCUUUGUGCUGCACCAAUAUUUGCUCAAAUUGGGUUACCAGUCAUCUUAUUUUUUUCUCACCGGGAAAGUUUUGUUGCACAUAUGAAAUAGACAUACGGUGCACAAAAUGACUUGAUAAUCUUAUCUAAUGGAAACUUCGAUAACACAUAUCUUGACCCUGUCUUUUCCAUAAAAUUUAGACUCUAGGUAAGAAGAAUGAUAGAAACUCAAUUGGUUACAGUUUGCUUGGAAGCUAGCCUUUAAUGCUCUCCAGAAAAUUGCAUUUUCAUUUAAAGAUGCAAUGCUUCUUGAAAUACAGGCAUUUCUCACUCCAAUUCCGAGUCUCUCAAUUCGUGCAUUUUGUACAAAGCCCAAUGAAACAAUGGCAGACAAAGCGGUUCAAGUUCAAAACCUAGACUCUAUAUCUUAUCUCACGCAACGAGAAGCCGCCGAGAUCGAUGAGAUCCUCAUGGGUCCUCUCGGGUUUAGCAUCGAUCAACUUAUGGUCAAGCUUAAUCACUCACUCAUUCAUAACCCAAUUCUUCUUUGCCUUUUUGUCGUUUUCACAUUUUCAAUUUAAUUUCGUUUAUGAUGUUUAGGAAUUGGCUGGCUUAAGCGUAGCUGAAUCCAUAGCAGAGGUAUUGUGUUUGUAUUAGGAAUAUAUUAAGGCUUGCAAUUGCAUUCAAAUUGUUUGAUGAUUAGUCUCUGUGAAAAUCCAAUUUUGUUUUUGGCUAAACACUCGAUAUUGGGAUUUGAUUUCA